UCUCAACCUUGUUCUGAUUCU
rnacentral:piRNA from 1 species